CCUACGGGGGGCUGCAGUGGGGAAUAUUGGACAAUGGGGGGAACCCUGAUCCAGCCAUGCCGCGUGUGUGAAGAAGGCCCUCGGGUUGUAAAGCACUUUCAGUGAGGAAGAACGCCUGGUGGUUAAUACCCAUCAGGAAAGACAUCACUCACAGAAGAAGCACCGGCUAACUCCGUGCCAGCAGCCGCGGUAAUACGGAGGGUGCGAGCGUUAAUCGGAAUUACUGGGCGUAAAGCGCGCGUAGGUGGCUUGAUAAGCCGGUUGUGAAAGCCCCGGGCUCAACCUGGGAACGGCAUCCGGAACUGUCAAGCUAGAGUGCAGGAGAGGAAGGUCGAAUUCCCGGUGUAGCGGUGAAAUGCGUAGAGAUCGGGAGGAAUACCAGUGGCGAAGGCGGCCUUCUGGACUGACACUGACACUGAGGUGCGAAAGCGUGGGUAGCACACAGGAUUAGAUACCCCGGUAGUC
rnacentral:rRNA from 1 species